rnacentral:rRNA from 1 species
UACAGAGGGGGCAAGCGUUGUUCGGAAUUACUGGGCGUAAAGCGCGCGUAGGCGGCUUUGCAAGUCGAUUGUGAAAUCCCCAGGCUUAACCUGGGAACUGCAUUCGAGACUGCAUAGCUAGAGUAUGGGAGAGGGAAGUGGAAUUUCAGGUGUAGCGGUGAAAUGCGUAGAUAUCUGAAGGAACAUCAGUGGCGAAAGCGACUUCCUGGACCAAUACUGACGCUCAUGUGCGAAAGCGUGGGGAGCAAACAGG